rnacentral:piRNA from 1 species
UGAAUUUGUCUGUGUCAGCAAUCCUUGGUC